rnacentral:lncRNA from 1 species
AUUUUCAGGACCCUCCUGGAUAAUGGGAUUUAGUUUUAAAAGUUUUCAGGACCCUUCUGGAUAAUGAGAUUUAGUUUUUAAAUUCUCAGGACCCUCCUGGAUAAUGGAAUUUAAUUUAAAAUUUUCAGGACCCUCCUGGAAAAUGGGAUUUAGUUUUUAAAUUCUCAGGACCCUCCUAGAUAAUGAGAUUUAGUUUUUAAGUUUUCAGGACCCUCCUGGAUAAUGAGAUUUAGUUUUUAAAUUCUCAGGACCCUCCUAGAUAAUGGGAUUUAAUUUAAAAUUUUCAGGACCCUCCUGGAUAAUGGAAUUUAGUUUUUAAGUUUUCAGGACCUUCCUAGAUAAUGAGAUUUAGUUUUUAAGUUUUCAGGACCCUCCUGGAUAAUGGGAUUUAGUUUUUAAAUUCUCAGGACCCUCUUGGAUAAUGAGAUUUAAUUUAAAAUUCU